rnacentral:rRNA from 1 species
UACGUAGGGAGCAAGCGUUGUUCGGAUUUACUGGGCGUAAAGGGCGCGUAGGCGGCAAAUUAAGUCAGCUGUGAAAUCUCCGAGCUUAACUCGGAACGGUCAGCUGAUACUGAUCUGCUAGAGUGCGGAAGGGGCAAUCGGAAUUCUUGGUGUAGCGGUGAAAUGCGUAGAUAUCAGGAGGAACACCGAUGGCGAAGGCAGGUCUCUGGGCCACUACUGACGCUGAGAAGCGAAAGCAUGGGGAGCGAACAGG